GUUCUUACCAGAGAAGGUUCAUCCAAAGUGACUGUAGAUCCUCACCUGUCAAGUGGAUAUUCAAGGGUCUUGCAAGGUCAAGAAUUCUCGACCUUGAGAGGCAAUUUUGCUGAGAGCAAUGAAUCUGAUACUGCUGAAAAAUCUGUAGUGUGGCCAUCUUCCAUAGAUGAUGAGAAGAUUGAUGUGGUAUCUGCUUCAAGAAGACACGGAUCAGAGAACUGGAUGCCCUCUGGGUGGCAGAAGCCAACCUACACAGAUUUGUUAUCAGGCUUUGGGGCACAUGCUAAUUUCUCGCAUGGGUUUGGUGAACCCUUUGUUGAUCAAACUGCAACAGCUGCUAGUAGAAAACUUGUAUUAGAUCAGGAAGGCAAGUUUAACUAUCUUCCUAGUCCAUGGUCGUUGAUGUCAUCAGGCCUCUCCCUCAAGUUAUCAGAGUCUAAUUCAAAGGUUCCUGUAAAAGGUUGUGAUAUAUCUUUUGAAGCACGAGGAAAUGUCAAGUGUAGUGCGUUUAAUGAGUAUCCGAAGCUUAAUGGUCGUAGAGUUGAGCAGUCUCAUGGAAACUGGUUAAUGCCCCUCCCACCACCAUCUCAUUUUGAUAGUCAUGCUCAUGCAAGAGAGUUGGCGCCAAAACCUAUUUUGGUACAAGAACAAGAGACUGGGAAAUCCACAGAUGGAAAGUGUAAGCUGUUUGGCAUUCGCUUGUUUAGUAAUCCUGUUGCGCCAGAACCAGUAGCUUUGCAUAGAAACACUUUCAAUGAGCCAGCUAGUUGUAUACAUACCCAGAGUGACCAGCUUCAUGUAUUGGACUCUGAUCAAAGGUUAGAACAUUCCAAGUUUUCUAAAAUGACUGAUGAUAAUGAACAGGAGAAACAGUCGCAAGCUGGACUAC
rnacentral:misc_RNA from 1 species